UAGUCUGUUUGUGUUAGUAUCUAUCGCGCGCGCAGCUCCUCGAGUCAGCUCGGCCGGCAAAGUACCUAGUCCAAUUUCUGCCAGUAUAAUACUUAUUGAUAUGAUAUUUUUCCCAUUCGACCGUCGCGCCUCCGAACAGGCACGACGCAUUCCGAAGAAAAAGAAACGAAAUUAUAAUAAAUUGUAAUAAAAUUGCACAUUAAAUCAAAUAAUAGUGAAUAAUAGUAAAGCAAAAAUACAUAUUUAAAUAGGAGACAACAAAUUUCGUCAAAUGCUGAACAACAUCCAUAAACAUUUAUACAAAAAAAGUGCAACGGGUAUAAGUAACGAGCCGUCAUCGCAUUCAAGGUUAAAUUGAAAACCCCGAUAAACCUUCCACGAGAUCACGCAAAUAUCACCCGACGGAAAGCAUAAUUGUUAUUAUGACAAUGGUUGCGGCGCCGCAUCCAGCCCGCUGGGAGGACUCCGCCGCGCUACCGUGUUGAAACCAAUGAGACUACGAAACGGCGGCGGCAAAUCGUUCCAGCACUUGGAUGCGGCGAAACUGAAACUGCCACGAAAAGCGGUGGUGCGGUGACGAGGUAUUGCGAGUGAGUAGUACGACGCACGGGUCCUGGCAGCAGUCACGUCGCGGGACCAUACUAGUUUGUCCGCAAGAUAUGGCGGUAAUUUAAAUUUAACUACUCCGAACAUCAGCGUUGCAAAAUGAUACUGUCUGCGAUAUUUCAUUUUUAAGAUUUUAGCCUUGUUUAUGUAAGGUGUUACGUGUGUGCGGGGAGGUAUUUUGAAGCAGAAUCUAGCGCAAGCAUUCUGUACUCUUUGAACUAGUUUUUGUGA